UGGUAAAUUUCCGUUUAGAGAAUUCCUCAUUCAUUUGGAAUUAUAUGUGCAGAAUCGUCGAUAGAAGGAGAGUGGAAAUGACACAGGUAGAGCCGAAUGGCCACCUCCGACGGCAGCAAUCUUAGCGACCUCGUAGUUGAACAUGAUUUCUUUUGAUGACGCGCACGAAGAUGGGGCAGCCUCCAGGAGCUUCCAUUGGCCCCGCAGGGAAAAGAUGUUCGGUGAUGCGAGUUGGAUAGAACAACGAAAAGAAAUGUUUUCACAUGACA